rnacentral:sRNA from 1 species
UGCAUUUGAAGCCCAUGAGGAUGAGAACCUCCGGGGGCGGGGAGGUUCGACUCGAGCGAAGCGAGAUAACGUUGCGCCAGCAACGGCCCGCAGGGCGAGCCACGAAGUGGCGAGUAAUCCUCUAUCACCGACCA